UUAUGAUUCGUUUUUUGUUCA
rnacentral:piRNA from 1 species